rnacentral:rRNA from 1 species
UACGUAGGGUGCAAGCGUUUAAUCGGAAUUACUGGGCGUAAAGCGUGCGCAGGCGGCUUUGCAAGACAGAUGUGAAAUCCCCCGGGCUCAACCUGGGAACUGCAUUUGUGACUGCAUGGCUUGAGUGCGGCAGAGGGGGAUGGAAUUCCGCGUGUAGCAGUGAAAUGCGUAGAUAUGCGGAGGAACACCGAUGGCGAAGGCAAUCCCCUGGGCCUGCACUGACGCUCAUGCACGAAAGCGUGGGGAGCAAACAGG